AUUGAACGCUGGCGGCAGGCCUAACACAUGCAAGUCGAGCGGAUGAAGGGAGCUUGCUCCUGGAUUCAGCGGCGGACGGGUGAGUAAUGCAUAUGAAUCUGCCUGGUAGUGGGGGAUAACGUCCGGAAACGGGCGCUAAUACUGCAUACGUCCUGAGGGAGCAAGUGGGUGAUCGUCGGAACUCUCGCUAUCAUAUGAGCCUAGGUCGGAUUAGCUAGUUGGUUGGGUAAAGGCCUACCAAGGCGACGAUCCGUAACUGGCCGGAGAGGAUGAUCAGUCACACGGGAGCGGGGACACGGACCAUGCUCCUACGGGAGGCAGCAGUGGGGAAUAUUGGACAGUGGGGGGAAGCCUUGUCCAGCGGUGCGGCGUGUGUGGAGAAGGUGUUCGGAUUGGAAAGCAGUUUAAGUUGGGAGGAAGGGCAGUAAGUUAAUACCUUGCUGUAUUGACGUUACCAACAGAAGAAGCACCGGCUAACUUCGUG
rnacentral:rRNA from 1 species